rnacentral:rRNA from 1 species
UACGGAGGGUGCGAGCGUUAUCCGGAUUCACUGGGUUUAAAGGGUGCGUAGGUGGGUUUGUAAGUCAGUGGUGAAAUCUCCAGGCUUAACCUGGAAACUGCCAUUGAUACUAUAGGUCUUGAAUUUUCUGGAGGUAAGCGGAAUAUGUCAUGUAGCGGUGAAAUGCUUAGAUAUGACAUAGAACACCAAUUGCGAAGGCAGCUUGCUACAGGAAUAUUGACACUGAGGCACGAAAGCGUGGGGAUCAAACAGG